UGGAAAAACAGAGAAAGCUCCGCUCCAUUCUCGUUGAAAACAGAAGAGAAAGCUCCGCUCCGUGGCCGUUGGCUCUAUAGCCAUUGAAAAAAGCAGAGCCGUUGAGAGAAGCUUCAUGGCCGAUGGCCCCAUAGCCGUUGAUAAAAGCUUCAUGGCCGUUGGCUCCAUAGCCAUUGAAAAAAGCUCCAUGGCUUUCACUGCUUAUAUAUAUAUGGCUGGGUGAUCUGAGAAACCGGCAGACUGUUUGUUUAGUUUCCUGCAAGUUCCCUCGUCCGCGUGGAGAAGCCCUUCCAGUGGUGAUGGCGAUGGCGACUUCAACAGUGAGGGCUUGUACGAGAGAGUGAUGGCGCCCAUGCUUCAUCAUUUGUUUUUGUCGCCCAUGCUUCAAGAUUUCCUCACCAGAAUGCGCAAUAUGACCUGUGCCCUGCAUCCGCUCCAACGCCACAGGGCUCAUCCGCAUCGCCAAUCAUCUGCGGAGGAAUGUUGUAAGUCCCAGCGCCUCCAAAGGAAUUCUCGAGUAUAGAAGAAUGCUUAGCCAAUAUAAGAGAGGGCAGAAACCAUGUUACGCAUUGCUAGAGAUGGCAUAGCUUCUGGAAGACUGCAAUGGUUGAGGCCAGAUAUAUAGAUAGCAUAAAGCAGGCAUUUAGCAAAUACCUGCUUAUGCUAUGUAUGCUACAUCUAAUUCCUCAUUGCUUUUUGUGAUUACAUGGAUGAUACAGGUUACAUGGAUGAUACAAAGAUGAUAAAGUUCCUCAUUGGAAAUUGAAUAUUCAACAUCCAACAAA